rnacentral:rRNA from 1 species
GACAGAGGUGCCGAGCGUUAGGCGGAAUCACUGGGCUUAAAGCGUGUGUAGGCGGAUUGGUAAGUACCUUGUGAAAUCCCACAGCUUAACUGUGGAACUGCUUGGUAUACUGCUUAUCUUGGGCCACUUAGGGGUUACCGGAACAAACGGUGGAGCGGUGAAAUGCGUAGAUAUCGUUUGGAACGCCAAUGGUGAAAACAGGUAACUGGGAGUGUGCCGACGCUGAGACACGAAAGCCAGGGGAGCGAACGGG